CCAGCCCGCUCAGAACUCAAAGGAAUUGACGGGGCCGCACAAGCGGUGGAGUAUGUGGUUUAAUUCGAUGCAACGCGAAGAACCUUACCUGGUCUUGACAUCCCGGAGACCCUUAGGAAACUAGGGGGUGCUUCCAUCUGGAAGAAUCUGGAGACAGGUGCUGCAUGGCUGUCGUCAGCUCGUGUCGUGAGAUGUUGGGUUAAGUCCCGCAACGAGCGCAACCCUUGCCUUUAGUUGCCAGCAGUUCGGCUGGGCACUCUAAAGGGACUGCCGGUGUUAAACCGGAGGAAGGUGGGGAUGACGUCAAGUCCUCAUGGCCUUUAUGACCAGGGCUACACACGUACUACAAUGGCCGAUACAAAGGGCAGCGACACUGCGAGGUGAAGCCAAUCCCGUAAAAUCGGUCUCAGUCCGGAUUGGAGUCUGCAACUCGACUCCAUGAAGUUGGAAUCGCUAGUAAUCGUGGAUCAGCAUGCCACGGUGAAUACGUUCCCGGGCCUU
rnacentral:rRNA from 1 species